CAGUCGCCGCGGUAAUACGUAGGUGGCAAGCGUUGUCCGGAAUUAUUGGGCGUAAAGGGCUCGCAGGCGGUUUCUUAAGUCUGAUGUGAAAGCCCCCGGCUCAACCGGGGAGGGUCAUUGGAAACUGGGAAACUUGAGUGCGGAAGAGGAGAGUGGAAUUCCACGUGUAGCGGUGAAAUGCGUAGAGAUGUGGAGGAACACCAGUGGCGAAGGCGACUCUCUGGUCUGUAACUGACGCUGAGGAGCGAAAGCGUGGGGAGCGAACAGGAUUAGAUACCCGAGUAGUCCCUGUCUCUUAUAC
rnacentral:rRNA from 1 species